rnacentral:rRNA from 1 species
AGAGUUUGAUCCUGGCUCAGGACGAACGCUGGCGGCGCGCCUAACACAUGCAAGUCGAACGAGCGAGAGAGAGCUUGCUUUCUCGAGCGAGUGGCGAACGGGUGAGUAACGCGUGAGGAACCUGCCUCAAAGAGGGGGACAACAGUUGGAAACGACUGCUAAUACCGCAUAAGCCCACGGGUCGGCAUCGACCAGAGGGAAAAGGAGCAAUCCGCUUUGAGAUGGCCUCGCGUCCGAUUAGCUAGUUGGUGAGGUAACGGCCCACCAAGGCGACGAUCGGUAGCCGGACUGAGAGGUUGAACGGCCACAUUGGGACUGAGACACGGCCCAGACUCCUACGGGAGGCAGCAGUGGGGAAUAUUGCACAAUGGGGGAAACCCUGAUGCAGCGACGCCGCGUGGAGGAAGAAGGUCUUCGGAUUGUAAACUCCUGUUGUUGAGGAAGAUAAUGACGGUACUCAACAAGGAAGUGACGGCUAACUACGUGCCAGCAGCCGCGGUAAAACGUAGGUCACAAGCGUUGUCCGGAAUUACUGGGUGUAAAGGGAGCGCAGGCGGGAAGACAAGUUGGAAGUGAAAUCCAUGGGCUCAACCCAUGAACUGCUUUCAAAACUGUUUUUCUUGAGUAGUGCAGAGGUAGGCGGAAUUCCCGGUGUAGCGGUGGAAUGCGUAGAUAUCGGGAGGAACACCAGUGGCGAAGGCGGCCUACUGGGCACCAACUGACGCUGAGGCUCGAAAGUGUGGGUAGCAAACAGGAUUAGAUACCCUGGUAGUCCACACCGUAAACGAUGAUUACUAGGUGUUGGAGGAUUGACCCCUUCAGUGCCGCAGUU